CAUGCAUAGGUCCCCUGUAUGA
rnacentral:siRNA from 1 species